GGGUGAACCUAAAACUGCCGCAGUACCAACUACUCGUACUACUACUACUGGAAGGGAGCGAGCCAGCGUAUGUCGUCUCUCCUUCCUAGUCCUGGCCGCGUGGGAACUCGGUAUAGAUGGCCAUGCAGCCCGAGGCACGACGGCCCGGCCCACGGCACGGCAUUUUGGCUCGGCCCGACACGGUAACUCGUGGGCUCGGGCCGGUCCGGUCCGGUGGUGCGGGCCAUGCUUGGACCGACCUUUGAGCCCGCGGGCUGGCACGACACGGUCCGAGUUUUAGGAGUUGACAUUAUGUUACAUGUUUUUUAAUGUCAUUUCUAUGAUUUAAGACUGAGAUUAUGAAUCUGAGAAGUUGAGAGUUGUAAAAAAUUGAUUGUGGCAUUAUGUUGGUGAAGUGAUCAUUGA